UGGGUCGUUGCCCGAGUGGUUAAAGGGGACGGACUGUAAAUCCGUUGGCUUACGCCUACCGUGGUUCGAAACCACGACGGCCCACGAC
rnacentral:tRNA from 1 species